UGGGGAAUAUUGCACAAUGGGCGCAAGCCUGAUGCAGCCAUGCCGCGUGUAUGAAGAAGGCCUUCGGGUUGUAAAGUACUUUCAGCGGGGAGGAAGGGAGUAAAGUUAAUACCUUUGCUCAUUGACGUGACCCGCAGAAGAAGCACCGGCUAACUCCGUGCCAGCAGCCGCGGUAAUACGGAGGGUGCAAGCGUUAAUCGGAAUUACUGGGCGUAAAGCGCACGCAGGCGGUUUGUUAAGUCAGAUGUGAAAUCCCCGGGCUCAACCUGGGAACUGCAUCUGAUACUGGCAAGCUUGAGUCUCGUAGAGGGGGGUAGAAUUCCAGGUGUAGCGGUGAAAUGCGUAGAGAUCUGGAGGAAUACCGGUGGCGAAGGCGGCCCCCUGGACGAAGACUGACGCUCAGGUGCGAAAGCGUGGGGAGCAAACAGG
rnacentral:rRNA from 1 species